rnacentral:rRNA from 1 species
GACGAACGCUGGCGGCGUGCUUAACACAUGCAAGUCGAACGGAAAGGCCCUGCUUUUGUGGGGUGCUCGAGUGGCGAACGGGUGAGUAACACGUGAGUAACCUGCCCUUGACUUUGGGAUAACUUCAGGAAACUGGGGCUAAUACCGGAUAGGAGCUCCUGCUGCAUGUUGGGGGUUGGAAAGUUUCGGCGGUUGGGGCUGGACUGGCGGCUUAUCAGCUUGUUGGUGGGGUAGUGGCUUACCAAGGGUUUGACGGGUAGCCGGCCUGGGAGGGUUACCGGGCACAUGGGGACUGAGAUACGGCCCAGAAGGCAACGGGAGGCAGCAGGGGGGAAUAUUGCAGAAUGGGGGGAAGCGUGAUACAGAAACGCCGCGUGCGGGAUGACGGCCUUCGGGUGGAAAACCGCUUUCGAAUGUGACGAAGAGGGAGUGACGGUAAUGGGUAAAGAAGCACCGGCUAACUACGUG